UUCUCCGAAGAGUCGGAAAGUCGCAGAGAAGAAACCACCCUUGAUACUAUCUAUUGAGUAGUGGGAUCCUUGGCUGUUUAUCUCAAUGGCUUCUUCUGAGAAGAUCCAGUGAUUAGCAACAAAGUUAGCAACUUCUGUUUUCCCGGACAAGGGCUUCUGGGAAUAGCAAAGCCAUCGAGGAGCAGGGGGACGGCACCGCCAGCAGUGGAAGGCGGCCUGAGAGUGAAGCCACGUCAACGUAGACAGGAAACUGUGGGUGUAGACAGUUUCUGCUCCUGAAGGUAAUCCGAGGCCACGUCACAGAGGGCUUAAAUAUUUGCAGGAAUUAGGGUUUUAUUUGGAGGAAAAUGACACAGCCAGAGCUUGUCGUGGAGCACGAAUGUGGCAGCGGACCAAGGACCAAAAAGCCGAUGAGGCGGAUGCUGAAAUAGUUCAGGCGAGAGGGAUGGAGACUUCGGCUAGAGAGAUUGUAGCAUUUACUACCCACGAGCUCAUUCACCCCGAAAACACUGAGCUGGGUUUCAUCUGAGUGGCAGGCACUGUUCUCCACGCCGGGCGCUUGGGGACCAGGGCGGGCCAGGACCUGUUGGUGUGAUGCGUACCCGAAGCUCACGCCGUGCACACGUGUGGGAUGAGUGACGUCAUGCCUCUGCUCAAAGGCCUUCUGAGUCCCAGACUCGGACGGUUUCAGGCGAAAGUCUCAGCAGCCUCCAAGGUGAAGUCCUCCGUGUUAGUGUCCUGCGGCUGCCCUAACGAACGACCACACACUUAGUGGCUGGAAAGAACACAGGCUUAUUCUCCGACAGUUCUGGAGGUCGGAAGUCCUCAUGUCAAGGCUGAUGCGCUAGGCAGCCCCCUUGGACUCUCCCCGAAGUGGUAACUCAGGGACCCCGUCGACUCGCACCUUUGAAGCCACCGUCUUUACGAAGGACCCUCGGGGUCCUGAUGGAAGAGGCACAGGAGAACCGAGAGGCGCUCCCACCCCUUCUGCCCACUUUCCCUCAGCCUGGACCCAGUGAAAUGGCAGCCUAACUGCAAGGGAGGCUGGGAAAUACCCCCUCCCGUGUGCCCAGGCAGCGAGCACGAGGCCGGGAUGUCUUACCUUGCCCAGCUCUGCUACAGUAUAUCUAGACAGACCAACCAUUGCCUGUGGCUUCACCCAACUGUUUGGUUAAUACGGCAUUUCAUCCAAUACUCACAGAUGCCUGGCAGCGUGGAGACGAAGCCUUCAGGUCAGCUGACUGAUGAUGGCAUCAUAUCGACACGGUCACUGACUGCUUCUGCAGCCCCGGCCAACGUGCCCGGCCAGUGCGCACAGUCCUGUGGUAAUUUCCUAGGAAUAAAAAGUCUCCAUUUCAGGACGAGGA